rnacentral:rRNA from 1 species
GUGGGGAAUUUUGAACAAUGGGCGAAAGCCUGAUCCAGCCAUGCCGCGUGCAGGAUGAAGGCCUUCGGGUUGUAAACUGCUUUUGUACGGAACGAAAAGACUCCUUCUAAUAAAGGGGGUCCAUGACGGUACCGUAAGAAUAAGCACCGGCUAACUACGUGCCAGCAGCCGCGGUAAUACGUAGGGUGCAAGCGUUAAUCGGAAUUACUGGGCGUAAAGCGUGCGCAGGCGGUUAUAUAAGACAGAUGUGAAAUCCCCGGGCUCAACCUGGGAACUGCAUUUGUGACUGUAUAGCUAGAGUACGGUAGAGGGGGAUGGAAUUCCGCGUGUAGCAGUGAAAUGCGUAGAUAUGCGGAGGAACACCGAUGGCGAAGGCAAUCCCCUGGACCUGUACUGACGCUCAUGCACGAAAGCGUGGGGAGCAAACAGGAUUAGAAACCCGUGUAGUCC